rnacentral:ncRNA from 1 species
AUGAACCGCUACAGCCGGCGAUGUCCGAAUGGGGAAACCCAGUGUGAUUCGUCACACUAUCGCAACAUGAAUACAUAGUGUUGCGAGGCGAACCGGGGGAACUGAAACAUCUAAGUACCCCGAGGAAAAGAAAUCAACCGAGAUUCCCCCAGUAGCGGCGAGCGAACGGGGAGCAGCCCAGAGCCUGAAUCAGCUUGUGUGUUAGUGGAAGCGUCUGGAAAGUCGCAGGGUACAGGGUGAUACUCCCGUACACGAAAACACACAUUCUGUGAGCUCGAUGAGUAGGGCGGGACACGUGGUAUCCUGUCUGAAUAUGGGGGGACCAUCCUCCAAGGCUAAAUACUCCUGACUGACCGAUAGUGAA